UACCGGCCAUGCCAUCUAUACAUACCAAAACAGCAUGACUUAUUAUUGUAUGGAUUAGUUCAGCUACAUAAUUCAGGCUGUGGCCGGUCUAGGACUAGGUACUCUUUUUGUUCAUGCAUCAACUGGUCGAAUCCAGCAUGCCAUCAACAUAGAUUGUGAUUUUGUCCUUUUGACUGAUACCAUUGUUUUUAAGUCCCAUAACCAAACUUCAGUUCUAGAUCCAAACCGAGCAGUUGAAUUAGUACUAAUCAUGGAGGUACCAGCGGUUAGUUAACAUUCAUGGUAACGAUUUUUUAUGUGUUUACUUCGAACCUGCAUCUGGUUUUGUUCUAUAGCGCCUUUAUCUAAGAUUAAUUGUGUUAUGGGUUACAGGGAAAAAAGCUAGCAUGUGAACUUUAGUUGCUUUUAUAUGGCCAUGAAAUAGUGGUGCAUGCCCUCUCCUACCUGCCUUUUUAUUUUCAUUUUCAUUUUCAUUUUCAUUUGUUUGUAGUGCACAGUCGAACAACUAUAUAUGCCAACUACUAACAUAUGAUCUUCUUUACAUGGUAUGUGAGUAUGAAGCCAAAAAAAGGUGUUAGUCCCAAGAGCCCUCCGAAUUCUCUCCAAAGUACAAAGUGUACUGCAUUGGAAACACAAAAAAUACAUCAUAUACAUGUUCUAGGGAAAGUAAUGAUUUAUUUCAUUCGGCUGGUAUGCAAAUCUCGAUACCUCAACACUGAUUCCUGCGCAAUGUCUCCAUCCAAGCAUGACGAAGUUUGUUUCAGACGUUGCUGGAGAGGGAAAUCAAUCAUCCAAUAUUGCCAAAUACCUCAAGAACCAGUAAGGUACUUAACGGAUGCGGUGGUGUGUCAAGAAGAUGCAUGCUUUCCAUGAGACAUGCCUGAAGGUCAGCAAUAUUAUUGCUUUCUUUCAAAAAGAUUUGGAAGCGUUCUCAAAGAUAGGACCUUUUAAUGGAUGCAGUGACUAUGUUAUGUUGUCUUCCCUUUGGUAGAACCGGAAGAAUCUGGCGUGGAAAGGAAUUCUUUCAACACAGUGAUUCCGGAAGUGCAUUACAAAUUGAAAUAUUCUGCAGCAUGCAUCAUGAUAUGAAUGUGCACUCAAGGUUUCGUGCGCCGGGAGAUCGUGCCUAUAUGUAUUCUGAGUUUGCUGGCUGGCGGCGGAAUGUGAACUAGCGUGCCGAACGAUGGCAGAUUAUAUUAAUAAUCUAGCGUGAAGCAUUCGGUCGUGGCUAUGCAAAUCGGGUGCAUGUGAUGUGCGUCUCUUGCCGGCCGUGGAUUAAUUAACUAGCAUGGCUAGCUUUGUCCAAGAGAAUCCACCAGGGAAGCCAGCUCUAGCAUGAAUCUAUUUUUGCUCGAUCAGGCAGAUCGAACUACUAUAUAGCUUUGAGGUGCCCUCACCAUGCAUUUUCCUUCGAGUGGCGUUAUGUUGGGGAGAGGUCCCCGGUGAGCUGGGACGAGCUCGGAUCGGCUAGCUGUCUAACAAAAAUAUGGGUUGUCGGCUAGCUUGGUCACGUUGCAAAGACUGACGUCGCUGCUACAUUUGGUUCAAGUGUGAUGAAAUUAAGCGCAGGCAUGUACAAUUGCAUUA